rnacentral:lncRNA from 1 species
AUCGGAAUGCACGAUUGAGAAACUUGUUGAAUUUAUCAAUGUAUUUCGCUUGCAAAGCCGAUCCCCAUAUUUCAAUUGCAUAGUAAAAUAAGGACAGGAUCAAUUGCCCAGCAAUUGCUGGGCUUCGUGGCUGGGCUUCGAACCCGCGACCAUCGUAAUGCUAUAUAGCUAAUUCUUCUUUCUAAAACGGAAUGGAAGAGUAUAUAGGUUGCCUUGCCUUAUAUGAACAGACCCUAAGGCCUUUCUAUUUCACGGUUUUUGAAACCCUGUCUUUUGUUUCUUAUAGUCCAUGCGAAUGUUCAGUGCUGGGCACCAGACCAGACAAUUUCCAGUGUGACGGGAACGGACAAUGUACCUGUAAGAAAAACGUGGUUGGCAAGAACUGCGACCAAUGCCUGGAUGGUCAUUUCGCUCUGGAAGCAGACAAUCCGUAUGGAUGCCGACAAUGUUUCUGUUAUGGUCAUUCUUCCGAUUGCAAGUCCGUUGGCGGUUACUCCAGCAUCAACCUCACUUCCGUGUUCCGUUUUGGUUCAGAGGAAUGGCGUGCUUUGAAUAGCAAAGGUAGCAAAUUGUAUCCAUUGGAUGCCGU